GACUUCUUAAUCAUGCUACGUUUCUCGUGAUUUGAGUUGUUCCUUCAUCCACACCACUAACCAUGACUCGGUUAGCAAGCAAUCAGAUUCUAACCAGUCUAGACUAGUUGGCUGUACUGCGGGCGCGGGCACACAUCGAUAGCAAAGCAAACCACUACUAGCUAUAGCGUUAGCCUUACCGAGUGGCGACGUAUUUUGACACGUUUAGCCGGUGGAGUGGGUGCCUGGGGAAGAUCCAGGAGGGCGGUGGGGGACUGCUGAAAGGCGGAGACGGAGGUGUGUCAGCCAGAUCACCUGACCGGGCUGCUGAAGGGAAGGGGAUGGGGCCAGGUAGUGGACCAUGGGGUGACCAUGAUCUUCCUCGAAGCCCUCAUCCUCCACAUCCUGGUCAAGAUCUUGGACGUAAGCAGCCUCGUCCAGAGUAUCAGGCUGAUGCCCUGCAGCUCCCCGCCUGUCUGCGAGUACAGGUACUCAAGGCCGAUGGGCUCCUCUGCAAAGUGAGCCUGGAUUAAAACUUGUGCCAAAACACGCAUCAAAGGGAGAGUUGACGCUGACAUUAGGAAGCUACUCACCAGUGUGCUCGACAGGCUUGAUGUGAUCCUUGACCAGGGCCAAGCGCUGAGCUGGUUAAGGGAGUGCUGCCGGUGGCCACCGUAGCAGAGCAGAGGCUGCACUCGUCCCUCCACUGCGGCUGCGGCACGGUUCCAUCUCACCAGUCCGUCCAGCAGGAACGCCUGGAAGUGCGAGGCGUUCUCACGAUCUCCUGAAAGUAAACAGAAUGCAUGUAAGCAAAGAUGGAAAUUUACCUUUACCAAAAAUUAUCUUAACAGUCAGGGUAGGUGGAGGUGUUCUUGGUUAGAGUGUCCUUGUUGGCCAUUUGAGGGCUCUGGGACAAGUUGGUCUUCCUCCUUUCUCAACAGGGAAGAAUGAGUAGUUCGCUUUGCAUUCUCGCAGCCCUCAUCAUCUCUGGUCGAAAGUUAUUAGACUGCUAUUCAUAAAGUUACCACAAGGGGUCACGAUUUAUUAACAUCAGCAUGUGUUUUCUUUGCCCACAGUAUUUUCCUACCUUUAAUCAGUUUAAAUUCACAACACUUAUUCCACUCAUUUGUAUAUUAACAUUUAUACAUUAAGCUCAUGUCCCAAAUUUGCUCAAGGCAAUGUAGAGCACUAGACAUAAUUUCAGUUUCUAUGCUAAUGGUAAGAAUAACUUGGAUGGUGUUACCAAAUUCAUGCUUCAGUUUUAAAAAGCAGUCGUGAAAAUAUUACAAAAUGCUACUUCUUGUGACUGAAUAAAAAAACUUACUUAAUAUAGUAAAGAUUAUGCUUCCAUAUAGGUGUACAGUUAACCUCUUUUUUACUAUCUAAUGUGGUGCAAACUGUUCCCCAUUAAAAAACAGUCAAAUCCUUAAAGUAACAAUAGUAAACAUCUUAACAACAAUACUGUUUUACAGGUUUCAGCAAGUGCCUGAGUCUCAAAUGAUACAAAAAUAAAAAAAGUAGAAAAUG